rnacentral:rRNA from 1 species
AUAUACAGUAAUAAAUCAAAGUAUAAUAAUUUACAUUAAGAUAUAAAAAUAAUUGUAUCUUAAUAACACUAUUUUAUAUUGCUUAUAUUAAAGAUAUAUAAUUAAAGAUAAAUUAAUUAAUAGUGCCAGCAAUCGCGGCUAUACUUUAUAUUUUUAUACUACUUUUCAUUGAUAACUCUAAUUAAUUAAUCUUACAAUUCUAAGUGAAAUUUUAUUUAAAAUAUAAAAAUAUAUUUUAUCAAUUUAAAUUCAAAAUAUAAAAUAGGAUUAGAGACCCUAGUAUAUUUUAACAAUCUUAGGAAGUAUAAUUAAUAAAAACCUAAUUACGCUUAAUGGCGGCUUCCGUUUUAUUAGAGGAACUUGUCAAAUUAUCGACAACCCCCGCUAAAUUUCACUUUAAAAACAAACUUAUAUAUCGCCAUCUAAAGAGAUUUUUCUAAAAAUUUCUCUAAAGAAAAUAUAAAAAGUUAGGUCAAGGUGUAGUCCAUAUUAAAGUAUUAGAUGAGUUACACUAAAUUAAAUUUAAGGAAAUUUCCAUAAAAUUAGAUAUAGAAAAAGGAUUUAUAAGUAUUAUUAUAAUAAUAAUGUUAAUUGAAUAAAUUAACAGAAGUGCACAUAUCGCCCGUCACCCUUAUUCCAUAAAUAAGGCAAGUCGUAACACAGUUGAUAUUUUGGAAAAAGUAUCAAG